GGGGAUGUGGCUCAGUGACAAAGCAUCUGCUUGGCAUGCAGAAAGUCCCAGGUUCAAUGCCCAGCAUCUCCA
rnacentral:tRNA from 1 species